UGUGAGUGUAUAUGUAUAUAGAAAUAUAUGUUAUUUAGAGAUAGCAGUCACCAUGCAAAAUAUACAUCGCACCAAAUAAAAUAAUUUUAUUAUAAUACUUACUAAUCAUUUCUAAAUUUCUCUUCUACACGUGUUUCUUGAGGUUCA